rnacentral:tRNA from 1 species
GGCCCGGUGGCGGAAAGAAUACGCACAGCACUGCAACUGCUGUCAUGCUGGUUCAAUUCCAGCCCGGGCCUCCA